CACAGCCCCUUAGGGAGACAGCAGGACACCAGCCCCAACACGGCCGCGUGGCCCAAGGCGACAAGAAUCCAAUGAAGAAAGCAGGGCCCGGCUCAGAGAAGUGAAGUGAUCUGUCCUGGGUCACACAGCAAGUUAAAGGCAGGAACAGGACCAGAACUGAAGCUCCUCAACACUGAGCGGAUCCAUCAGAGGGGCACC